rnacentral:lncRNA from 1 species
AUAACACAGACCUCUGAGAGUCUGUCUGUCCAUUCGGCCCAGAGUUCUCUGUCCAGGUGGUUUUGGCUUUUUUCUUAUUGCUUUUGUUUUCAUUCUGGUUUUUCUAUUUUGUACAUAAAAUUUUUAUUUUGUAAAAUGAGUUAAUGUAAGCUUAAUCAACAUGACUUUAAUGCUUACUAUGCUUAUAUCGUUGUAAAAUGGUCUUUAAUCACUCUUUGUAGUAAAAAUAUUGAAUAUUAUAUUCAUGAGUGCAAAAACAUAUGUAGUAAAUAUCAGAUUUUUAAGUAUAAACUUUACAGAUUUAAAAAAAAUCGCCUAGACACUUUGAAAAUAGUAACUUCUUCAUUUUGAUGAAGUUAAGUAUUUCGGAUUUUGUUGUGAUAAUUUAGGCGAUAAAUUUUUACGAAUUUCAGAGAAACGGGGAAAAGGAAAAUUGGGAGGAAAAAUCUAAGAACAUGCAGUUUUCAAAUUAACAAUAUUUUUUAUGCUCAGGUGAAUAAAUUUUAUUUUUAAAAAAGUUUAAAAUGUAGGCAAUCACUCUCUCAUGCAAACUUUUGAUACACACGAUAUUUUUCAACAAAUGCUGUAUAUUUAUAGUAGUCUAAUCAAAUUGCAUCGUACUUUGCAAAAAAAAAAUUUUAACCUUUUAUUCUAACUCAGACUUCUUGUAACUACUUUCUAAAAGCAUUUGAAAUUUAAAGGUCAUUCUUUAGCAGAUUCAUGAACAGUUAUUUAUUUUACUAUUGUUCAUUUAUAAAGAACCUUAUUAGUGGUGCCUUAUUUUUACAAUUUGUUUGCCAAAACCAAUUUUGAAACCUGCUUAAGACUUGUUAGCAUUCUUUAUUGUAAGCUCGAGAUCAUGCGCGUCAGAAAUAAACCCUUCUUUCAAAAGGAAGGAAGAGGAUCCUUCUCUUUAUUGCAGGUUUUAAUCUUAACAAAAUUAAGAAAGAACAAUUACCUGAGCCGGCCCCUUACCUGGCGCGGUGUGGUCACGUGAGCUCUCUCGGUUACCGGCGCACCAAGUGCUCCACCUGCCUCUCAGUUUGUUUACCAGGAAAUCAAGAUGUGUAAACUGCAGGAAGUACUAUUUGACCCUCUCCGACAGUAUCUCAUUACAAUAAUUGCUAAUCUCUGAAUAAGACAGCCAUGUUUUGUGAGGGAGAGGUUGUGUUAGGUAGAUUUUAGGUGUUUCUACAAACAGAGCAUUGCAAAUGCUUGCUUGGCUUGUGUUUUCAUUAUAGCGCUUGAUAAAAGACAUAUUGUGACCUCUGGGGUCAGCAGAGCUAGGAUACAAUAGUAAGUAUUCUUUCAAGCCUUUCAACAGAAAACACCGUGGCUGGCUGUGCAGUGCUGCCUCUGCUCUGAAUCGAAAGGAUAAUGGCUACUUCCUGAUUAAAGCCGGUCCACCGUAAGCAGAGCUCCGUGCUGAAUGUCUUUCUCCUGCUAACGAGCGAGCGCGUUGCCGCUUGCUUUAUUGUGUGUCUGUUUUCAUUGGUGAGCCUCUUAGAAGUAUUUCUUGAACUUGAACUUACAUUUAGAGUAGAAACUACAAUUUUAAGUUUGGAGGAUUUUUUUAAAAAUUCGUUAAUAUUUCUGUCUUGUAUUUUAAAUUUAUCUCAGGUACUUACUAUAGAUUUUGAUUAAAGAAACAAGCUUAAAAACACUAGCAUGAUAAAUUGUAGUAAGCUGCCACUUGCUUGGUACUCCAAGCCGAAUCCUGAAAUGACAUGUAAAUCAGAUUGUUUUCAGACCCUCAGAAUUAAUUCUGACUUAUCUUUAAUAUAAGAAAUUUAUGUGUAUAUGCUGUCACAAUGUAGUGGUGACUGUUUUAUUAUAUUAAAUUGUUUUCUUACAUUAAUUACAAAGGCUCUGUGAUAUAAAAAUGAACGUUAAGUACUGAAAGCAUAAGAAGGAAUAAAUAGCCACUCAGCUUUAAUCCUGGAGCUGGCGGCCACCCCAUCUGUGGCCUUGGGACAGUCAUUUAAACUGCUUGCCUUGUUUUCUUGUCUCCUACCCAGGUGCUUAAGUAGAGUGUGUUUGUUUAUUUAUUGUAAUACAAACGUAAAGGAAACAUGUUUUACAAGGGUUUUAAAAAUGAUUAUCUAAUUUAAGCAGAACUCUGUUUUUCUUAAACCUUCAUUACCCAAGAAUUAUGGAUAUUCUUGGAUCCAUGACUAACAUACGCAGAAAGCUGAUGGUCAAUUAGUAGGAGUCACAAGUGUGCAUCUGAUUUUUCUAAUAGGAGCUUCUUCAGAGAAUAGAAAAGAAUGAGUGUAAGUUAUACACUGGUAAGUGUAAGUUACUUAAGUAUUCUUGUUGUUAAUAAUUAAACUCCAGUAGUAGGUAUUUUGUUUAUGUAAGAGAUAACACUUUAAAAUUAUUAAAAAUUAAUUGCAAGUUCUGAAGAAGGCUAUAGAAUCUAAAAUAAAAAUAAUAAUUUGAAAGUAUUCUAGGGAAAUAUAAAUAAUCUAGCGCCUCUUGAGAAUUAAGCUACUUUUGUUUUAAUUUGUCAUCUUAUAUUCAUGGUAAUCACAUUAGGCAUGGUAUCAUUGCUCCCAUUUCCAUUGAUGAAGAAAUAAUUGUAGAGAAUCUAAAUAAUGGGACUAAGGUCUUUUAGCCAGUGUGAGAGUCAGGCGAGACACAGGAGCAGAAGCCAGAGUCACACUUUAAGACACUUUAUAUCAUAAAGGCGGGUGCUCACAUCUUUGGUUUAGAUGGAUUAAUUUAUCAAAUAUUAUACAGUGCUUCCAAAGUAUCAGACACUGUAAGAAGUACAAUUACCUACAGCAGGAAGCCAAACAAAAUCUGUGUCUCUAAAAUUUACAGUUUAAUAGAAGAAGCAAAAAUUUAGCAGGCUUGAUACCUGAUACAGUGCAGGUAAACACAACAGCUAAAGGCUGUACAAGGUGAGAGCCAAUAUAUUGUUUUUAUUGACAUUCUGAUGAUAGAGCCUUAGAGAAUGGUAGGCAGGUACUCUACCUCUGAGCUGGUGCAGCCCACUUCAUUUACAUACUGAAUUUGCGUGUAGUCUGGACUGUUCUAGAUACCUGGAAAAUAACAGCAAAUAAGCAUCCCAAAGGUGUUCAGGUGGAGAUAAGCUAUAGAGGAUAAUUAGUAAAAUACGUAGCUUGUUAGACAGUAAAUGUU